GAUGAACGCUAGCGGGAGGCCUAACACAUGCAAGCCGAGCGGUAUUGUUUCUUCGGAAAUGAGAGAGCGGCGUACGGGUGCGGAACACGUGUGCAACCUGCCUUUAUCUGGGGGAUAGCCUUUCGAAAGGAAGAUUAAUACUCCAUAACAUAUUGAACGGCAUCGUCUGAUAUUGAAAGCUCCGGCGGAUAGAGAUGGGCACGCGCAAGAUUAGCUAGUUGGUGAGGUAACGGCUCACCAAGGCAAUGAUCUUUAGGGGGCCUGAGAGGGUGAUCCCCCACACUGGUACUGAGACACGGACCAGACUCCUACGGGAGGCAGCAGUGAGGAAUAUUGGUCAAUGGGUGCAAGCCUGAACCAGCCAUCCCGCGUGAAGGACGACUGCCCUAUGGGUUGUAAACUUCUUUUGUAUAGGGAUAAACCUACCCUCGUGAGGGUAGCUGAAGGUACUAUACGAAUAAGCACCGGCUAACUCCGUGCCAGCAGCCGCCGUAAGAC
rnacentral:rRNA from 1 species